CAGCAGCCGCGGUAAUACGAAGGGGGCUAGCGUUGUUCGGAAUCACUGGGCGUAAAGCGCACGUAGGCGGACUUUUAAGUCAGGGGUGAAAUCCCAAGGCUCAACCUUGGAACUGCCUUUGAUACUGGAAGUCUUGAGUUCGGGAGAGGUGAGUGGAACUGCGAGUGUAGAGGUGAAAUUCGUAGAUAUUCGCAAGAACACCAGUGGCGAAGGCGGCUCACUGGACUGGUAUUGACGCUGAGGUGCGAAAGCGUGGGGAGCAAACAGGAUUAGAUACCCGCGUAGUCCCUGUCUCUUAUAC
rnacentral:rRNA from 1 species